rnacentral:tRNA from 1 species
GGUCUGAUGGUGUAGGGGUAUCACGUUUGCUUUGCAUGCAAAAGGUCCGCGUUUCCAAUCCCCGUCAGUCCA